GGAGCCGUGCCUGAAUAAAGGGCCACUUUGAUAGAGUGACUAAUGGGGGUUAAAGUCCCCCCGACUCCU
rnacentral:tRNA from 1 species